AAUUCUCAACCCCUCUCGAUUUGUUUCGAGAGGGAGCUUGGAUGGUGGGGGCUGCCGGAGACUAGGACUUUCGUCUUGGACUCGGGCUCUCCUUAAAUGCAUAGGCUUGCGGUCGACUUUCGACUUUGCGCGACAAGGCUUUCGGCGUGAUAAUGAUCGCCGUUCGCUGAAGCGCAUGAAUGAAGGUUCCGUGCCUCUAAUACGUCGACUUAGUAUCUCUUAGGAGAGAAAACGUCUUCCUUAUUGAC
rnacentral:misc_RNA from 1 species